rnacentral:rRNA from 1 species
UACAGAGACCUCAAGCGUUGUCCGGUUUCACUGGGCGUAAAGCGUACCGAUAGGUGGUUAAGUGUGUUUGUGGUGAAAGACCGAAGCUUAACUUCGAGUUUGCCACAAAAACUGCUUAGCUAGAGGAACAAAGAGGUGGUUGGAACUCUGCAAGUAGGGGUGAAAUCCGUUGAUAUGCAGGGGAACGUCGAAAGCGAAGGCAGACCACUGGGUGUUUCCUGACACUGCUAGGACGAAAGCGUGGGGAGAGAAUGGG